CUCACCAGCUGCACCUCAUCUGUCAUCAAGCAUCUACACAUACUCCUCCUGACCACCACCUCCUCCUGACCACCUCCACGCUGCCAGAUCGUUGUCUCUGCUACCACUCCUCCUGUUCUUGCUCCGGUCCCUGCUCUUUGCCUCCUCACCUAGCUACUCACCUCCUUUCCUGGAACCCUGCUUUACACCCCUUACCUUGGACAAACAUCUGGACCUGCCACCUUUACCCCCAUCGCUCCAGCCUCAGCCUAAAGCUCCAGGCUCCCCACUACCAGCUCCAGCUCUCCCUAAACCGCAGCCUUGCAGGCUGAAGGUCAACCAGGCGGAAGACGGCUGUCUCAGGAUCAGUCGCACAGACACCACAUGAUCAGGCUCCACCAUCAUCUGUUCAGAUGAGGAAUAAAUGAAAGAAGGAUAAAGAAAGUGUGAAGACGUCUGGAAGGAGUGAAAUGAAGAAGCCUCAGUUUAUGUUGCACUUUGUUUCACAUUUCAUGACUUUCCAGGUUUUUCAUGACCAUGAGAACAAUUCAACUGAAAAUGAACUGAACCAUUAACUUCACCUUUUCUAGAAUCAUGGACUAAAUAAAGAUGGACGACAUGACAGCUCUCAAAAAGUGAAGUCAAAGGUCCUCUAUUGACCCCUGGUGGCUGGUGGCAGUAUAUCUUCCAUAUCCUCCAUGUAAGCAGAUGGGACAUGGAUUUAUUCAGACGUUUAUAACGCUGAAACACUUCGGAAGAAGAAACGUCUGAGUUCUGCUGCAGGGCAUAAAAUUACAGAGGAAACCUACACACAAUCUGCAGCCCACCUGA